AUUGAACGCUGGCGGCAGGCCUAACACAUGCAAGUCGAACGGUAACAGGAAGCAGCUUGCUGCUUCGCUGACGAGUGGCGGACGGGUGAGUAAUGUCUGGGAAGCUGCCUGAUGGAGGGGGAUAACUACUGGAAACGGUAGCUAAUACCGCAUAAUGUCGCAAGACCAAAGAGGGGGACCUUCGGGCCUCUUGCCAUCGGAUGUGCCCAGAUGGGAUUAGCUUGUUGGUAGGGUAACGGCUCACCAAGGCGACGAUCCCUAGCUGGUCUGAGAGGAUGACCAGCCACACUGGAACUGAGACACGGUCCAGACUCCUACGGGAGGCAGCAGUGGGGAAUAUUGCACAAUGGGCGCAAGCCUGAUGCAGCCAUGCCGCGUGUAUGAAGAAGGCCUUCGGGUUGUAAAGUACUUUCAGCGGGGAGGAAGGGAGUAAAGUUAAUACCUUUGCUCAUUGACGUUACCCGCAGAAGAAGCACCGGCUAACUCCGUG
rnacentral:rRNA from 1 species